UUUUCUUAUGACUGUUUUCUCAUUUUUUAUUUUUUAUUUUUUAUUUUUAGACCAACUCUUGCUCUAUCAUGCAGGCUGGAGUGCAAUGGCAUGAUCUCAGCUCACUGCAACCUCUGCCUCCCAGGUUCAAGUGAUUCUCAUGCCUCAGCCUCCCAAGUAGCUGGGAUUACAGGUGCACACCACCAUGCCCAGCUAAUUUUUGUAUUUUUAAUAGAGACAAGGUUUCACCAUGUUGGCGAGGCUGGUCUCAAACUCCUGACCUCAGGUGAUCCACCACCUUGGCCUCCCAAAGUGCUGGGAUUACAGGCGUGAACCACCACGCCUAGCCCUAUUUUCUCAUUUCUACACAUCCUAAUGGAUUCUUAUCAACGAUACCUCAGCCUGUUUCAUAAUGCUCUGCUCUUUGUGGCUUUUAUUCUUUUAUCUUUCAAAUUAUUUUUAAAAUAUACUUUAAAAUCUCAUUCAAGUUUUUCUUUUAAUUCAAUUAGGUAGGUUGCUAAUUUUCCAGACUAUUAUGUCUUCUGGUUUUCCCUCAGUGGCAUGCUUUUUUUUUUUUUUUUUGGCCAAGAAUUUUUUGCUUUUUAACAUAGAAAGCCAGUAUGUAUUUACAUUGAUAAAGCAAUUACAGAUAAAUACACUUAAAAAGACAUGACAUGCUGGAAUAUUUUCUUAGUGAUAUCCUAAAACCAUAAUUAAAUCCUUUUUCACUUCUUCAUUGAAACACAAUAAAUGUACGUAUUUAGGGUACAUGUGCUAAUUUAAUAUGUUCAUGUAGUUCAAGACCAAAUCCAUGUAACUGGGAUAUCCAUCACCUUAAAUAUUUGUCUUUGUGCUAGGGACGGCUCUAACUCUUCUGUCUUGGGGUAAAUUUCCAUCUCUAAACCCAAUCCCCUUGAACAUUUGAAUUACUCUCUUCUAUCUAUUUUGAAAUAUACAAUACACACACUUUUUAUUGCAUCCUCAAUUUCAGUAGGAAUUGCUUGUCUAUGGACAAGCUGUGAGUCACAACUAGUCUUAAGUAUUACUACAGUUCAGUUUCUGCCAAGUACUCCAGAUAUGUUACAUUCAGUUUUUAGCACUCCUUUAAAAGUCCUAGAUUUGUGCAGGAAUCUCUAUAUCCAUUUAUACAUUAAAACACUAGUCCAUACAACUUAUAUCUGGUUUUAAUAUCCUUUUAUCAUUUUUCAUUAAAAAGGUUUUAAUAUCCUUUUUAAAAUUCUGGCACCAAG
rnacentral:lncRNA from 1 species